rnacentral:tRNA from 1 species
CACCGCGUAGCUCAGUUGACAGAGCAUUGGGUUAGUAUUCCAAAGGUCGUAGGUUCGAUUCCCACCGUGGUCA